rnacentral:tRNA from 1 species
GGGAAAGUGGCUUAAUGGUAGAGUGCUUGCCUGGAAUGCAUGAAGCCCUGGGUUUGAUUCCUCAGUACCA